rnacentral:misc_RNA from 1 species
CUUUUGUUUAGGGUUUUAAGGACUUCAUGCAAACCAAUUGUUUUGCUCUUCUUUGAAGAAACUGCGGUAUUCGACCACUUAGCGGCUUUGAGCUUUAAAUUCUCGAUCUUAAGAUCCCAUAGUUUUUCUUCUCCUUUGGUGUGUUUAUUGUUAUCUGCUGUUGACCUUGUCUUUUUGUCUCAGGUAAAAUUUCUUGAGUUUGCUGGGUUCGCUUUCUGUGACCUAAAAGAUGCUUCCUCUUUCUCUCCUUAAGACUGCACAGGGCCACCCAAUGCUUGUAAUUCAUGGUGGUUGUGUGUUGUAACAGUUGGUGGAACUGAAAAAUGGGGAGACUUACAAUGGACAUUUGGUCAAUUGCGACACUUGGAUGAAUAUCCAUCUCCGUGAAGUCAUAUGUACAUCUAAGGAUGGAGAUAGGUUUUGGAGAAUGCCCGAAUGCUAUAUACGUGGAAAUACUAUUAAAUAUCUUCGAGUUCCUGAUGAGGUGAUUGAUAAAGUUCAGGAAGAAACCAAGAGCCGCACAGAUCGGAAGCCACCUGGAGUGGGGCGUGGAAGAGGACGAGGUAGAGAGGAAGGUGGAAGGCCAGUGAAAGGCAUUGGGCGUGGCCUUGAUGAUGGAAGUGCCAAGGCUGCUGGUGGAGGCCGUGGCAGAGGUGGUUCAGGUGGAAAGACAGGUGGAAAUAGAGGCGCAGGGCGGGGCAGGGGCUGAUGCAAGAAAUGGUAGCCGAUCACUUAUCACUUUGGGCCGCUUUUGCUGCUUUUGGAGGCAUUUUGCUCCCAGCUUUUAUGUGAAAAGUUAUUGCUUAGAUCAAUUCCGAGAAUGGCUGGUUCUUAUAUGUUUCAAGUAUAGUUAAUUUUAUAAAGAUUAUUGAAGCUGGUAUUAAAAUGUUUCCAUUGUGAACUACCAUUAUAUCCUGUUUCUUUGUUCUCUUGUAUGCGGAGUUGAUUCACUUUAUGGUUUGAGACUACCUAUUGUUGCACUCUCUCUUUAACUCUUGUAUGAAGAUGGGUGAUUAUGAUAAAUUUUCGGGUAACCAG